rfam:Brachypodium distachyon strain Bd21 chromosome 4, whole genome shotgun sequence.
CAUAUACUUCCUCCGUCCAACAAAGGAUGUCUCAACUUUGAUUAAAUUUGGAUGCAUCUAUACAUUAAAAUCAUGUCUAAAUACAUCAAACUUUUGACAAAUUUGAGACAUCUUUUGUUGAACGGAGAGAGUAUUUA